UACGUAGGUGGCAAGCGUUGUCCGGAAUUAUUGGGCGUAAAGCGCGCGCAGGCGGUCCUUUAAGUCUGAUGUGAAAGCCCUCGGCUCAACCGGGGAGGGUCAUUGGAAACUGGGGAACUUGAGUGCAGAAGAGAAGAGUGGAAUUCCACGUGUAGCGGUGAAAUGCGUAGAGAUGUGGAGGAACACCAGUGGCGAAGGCGACUCUUUGGUCUGUAACUGACGCUGAGGCGCGAAAGCGUGGGGAGCAAACAGG
rnacentral:rRNA from 1 species